rnacentral:tRNA from 1 species
UAGGUCAGUUCAGUUGGUAGAGCACAGAGCUCUUAACUUUGUUGUUGUGGGUUCGAUUCCCUUGGCCAUC